rnacentral:rRNA from 1 species
UACGGGGGGGGCAAGCGUUGUUCGGAAUUACUGGGCGUAAAGGGCUCGUAGGCGGCCAACUAAGUCGGACGUGAAAUCCCUCGGCUUAACCGGGGAACUGCGUCCGAUACUGGAUGGCUUGAGUUCGGGAGAGGGAUGCGGAAUUCCAGGUGUAGCGGUGAAAUGCGUAGAUAUCUGGAGGAACACCGGUGGCGAAGGCGGCAUCCUGGACCGACACUGACGCUGAGGAGCGAAAGCCAGGGGAGCAAAC